rnacentral:rRNA from 1 species
ACGGAGGUGGCAAGCGUUACUCGGAAUUAUUGGGUGUAAAGGGCAGGUAGGUGGUCUUGCAAGUGAGAGGUGAAAUCCCACGGUUCAAUCGUGGAACUGCCUUUCAAACUGCUUGACUUGAGAGUGUUAGGGGAGAAUGGAAUUCCCGGUGUAAGGGUGAAAUCUGUAGAUAUCGGGAAGAACACCAACAGCGAAGGCAAUUCUCUGGGACACUUCUGACACUGAACUGCGAAAGCUAGGGGAGCAAACAGAAUUAGAUACUCUGGUAGUCCUAGCCGUAAACGAUGAAUACUAGGUGUUGGUCCUUUCGGGGAUCAGUGCCGAAGCUAACGCAUUAAGUAUUCCACCUGGGGACUACGAUCGCAAGGUUA